UAAAGCAACAGGAAUCCAUGUAUUCAAAGAGGAAAACAACAUCAUGGAAGACAUUCGGUUUGAUGAUCCUUAUAUCAUGGAAGAAGAAGAAAAGGAGGAAGAAAAGGAAGAAGGAGAAGAAGAAGAGGAAGAAAAAGAAGAAAAGGCAGAAGAAGAAAAUAGCAUCAUGGAAGACACCAUGGAAGAAGAAGGAAGAAGAGGAAAAAGAAGAAAACUGCAUCAUGGAAGACAUUCCUGGUUUGAUGAUCCAUAUACCAACAAGAAAAGGAAGAAGGGGAAGGAGAAGAGGAACAAGAAGAAAAAGAAAAAUAACAUGCAGAAGAAGAAGAAAAUAGCUUCAUGGAAGACAUUGCAUUUGAUGUUAUAUCACGGAAGACAUCAUGGAAGAAGAGAGAAAAAAAAAGAAGAAAACAACAUCAUGAAAGACACCAUGGAAGAAGAAGGAAGAAGAGGAAAAAGAAGAAAACAGCAGCAUGGAAGCCAUUCGGUUUGAUGAUCCAUGUACCGACAAGAAAUUAGACAAAGAUCUCAACCCUUCUCAAUCACAAAACCACUUGUUAAGAACCUUAGGUUUCUUCAUAGGCUUUUUUCUUUUUUCUUUUCGUGCUUAUGUUUUUAACUUUAUUUACUAGCCUCAGCACCAACUCAACUAGGAUAUGAGCGAGAUAAUUUCAUUUUUAUUAUAUAUAUCAAUAUAUAUAUAUAUAUAUAUAUAUAUAUAUAUAUAUAAUUAUAAAUCUAUAAAACUAUAAAAUUUUAAAAUUUUAAAAUUAUAGAAUUAUAUAUGGUUUUCACAUUUAUUUUAUUAAAUACAAAUUACUGUUUUUCUUUCUAAUUACAAUUGAAUCUUAAAUCUCUUUCCUAUCUAUAAAUAAUCCUAUUUGUGUUUUUUUCUCUUGUUCAUUAUACUAUUUUUUUAAAAAGGUGUUCAUAAGAUUUAGAGAUUUUUUUGCAGUUUAAAAGUUCUUCGUUGCAUUCAAUUGAUCCGCAAGGAUGUUGUAUCUUAAGAUGAUAACCCAUAAUAUUAUGUCUUGCUCUGUAUAGUAUGUUGGGAGAGUAACACAUAAUAUUAUGUUUUGUCCUGUACACUGGUGGUGACGUUUUGUCUUUAAGGAUAAUGUUCUAUUUGUUAUAAAUAUUAUUUGAGUUUAUUAAUAUUUUUUUAUACAUAUCUCUGUCUUUUAUUUUAUUCAUCUACUUUUCUAACACUUCCUUUGAGAAAACUUUCCAUAAAAGAAUUGUCAGUUUCAUUUUAAAAUCUUACUAGAUUCCAUCAAUUAAAUAGCAUUGUCUUUACGCAUAUAUUGUCUAAUUUUAUUCUUUAUAGAUGCAAGGGUGGAAAUGGAUAAAAUCAAAAUGCCAAUAUAGUGGAAGAUUUGUCCAUGCAGGUGAUAAAAUCAACAAAUGAUUGGUUUAAUUUUCAAAACAUAAAAAAUAACAAAAAAAAUAAAACGGUUAAGUGCAAUUUCUCCUAUAUUUUUCUCGUUUACAGGAUUUGAACCUAAACUUUGCUUUAAGAAACCCAAACAAAUGGCACUCAAACAAAAAACACAUAUCGGUUAAAUCUGGUUGUUUUUUUUAUGAGCAUUGAACUUGUUUUUCCUCAUAGACAUGUUCUUUAAUCUUUCAGUCCUUUUUUCUUGAUAAAAUCAUUUAAUAAAGUGAAUUUCUUUUAAUUAAAGCAAAGAAUGUCUUUGCAUUGAUAUAAUCGACUGAAUAUAAAUGGGAAUAUAAUAUAGAUUACAGAUAUGCAAAACAGAAUCAUAUCAAUAAACAUUUUUCUGAUAUAACAAUCAGUUCAAAUAUGGCUGUAAAAAGUUUCGUCCAUAUUAGUAAUACCUAAACUCUAUUUGGAUACAAUUUUCAUCAGAUUUUGUUCACUUAAAGGGAUUUGAAGGAGAGUAAUUGAAUGAAUUUGAGAGGAUCUGAAGAUAAAUUUUUUGUUUUAUUUGAGUAGAUUUGGAGGUAAGUGAAAAUGUAUUUGGAAGUAAAGUUUAUGAGAAUUAGUUUAUUAUUUAAUUUAUAUGACAGAUUAAACAAAUUUACUUCUAAAUUAACUCUCACUUACGUCGAAAUCCAAUCAAAUAAACAGUAAAAAAAAAUUAUCUUCAAAUCCUCUCAAAUUCAUUCACUUACUCUCCUCUAAAUCCUUUUAAGUGAAGAAAACAUAAAUCUAAUUAAAUUACAGCAACACUUCCUUGCUUUCUAUUUAUAAGACCAAAUUGCACAUCAUGUCUAAGAAAAAUGGUUCACUAUUUAAUAGAAACAGAUCUGUUUAUAUAGAUAUAUACUUUAUUAUACUUUUAUAAUAAAUUUAUACUUUAUUAUGUGUAAAUUUAAACACCAAGUAUUCUAAAUAAUUGUAUGUACACAGAGAAAUUUUGAAGAACUUUGAUGAAGACCUGUGUUGUAACGUAGAGUAAGGGUUAUGCAUGAUGUUCACUUUUGUGACAAAAGAGAGGAAAAAAAGAGAAUUUUCUAUGAAAUUCAUUCCUAUAAUAAUUAACACUGCUGUGAUAUUUCCAAUGUUGAUCCCUUUUUCAGAACAUUUUAGAAUAACCUCAGUUUUUAAAAGAGAUUGAUACUUUUAGCAAAAAUAAUUUUUGAUGAGAAAAAACAUUGUAGAAUAAGAAUUUAAAAGUAAAUACUUAUUUUAUCACUAACAUUGGAGAUUAUUUGGACAAAGAUAUAUAUGAACGCAUCUUCCUUUUUCUUUUCCUUUUGACUAUUAUGAAGGCAAUUCAAGAGUCUAUGAUGGCCAUCACUGUGCUCUCUCAUAACUAUGCUUCUUCCUCCUUCUGCUUAGACUCAAUAGUUAUCUGUAGAGGACUCACUAAAACAAAUUCAAAUAUAAUUCGUAAUUCAUAUGUUAUUUGAAUCACAUUCUAGUACAAAAAAAUGGACAAAGUUCCACACAAAGUUUAAAAGCAAUGACAAGAGCAUUUUAUUAAAUAUUAUUUAAUUUUGUCAAAGAUUGAAAAUGAGUAUAUGUUAACAUGAAUACGGACUCUCAAGGUUCAGUGGUCCUGCUAUUUGUUAAAUUUAACGCGUUGCCGUAGCCUAAUUGAACACUUUUAUUCCACAAUUCUGUUUUUUGACCAACAAAGAUGGAAAUUGAUUACAGAGACUGCUAUGAUCGGAUUUUUAGUUUGAUUAGUAUUCUAGACCUAUAUUUAAAGUCCAGAUAAAUUAUUUUUUACUUUCUAAAAUAUUAUUCAGUGGAUAGAGUUUUAAAUUGAUAGAAAAUUAAUUAUUAGUUGUGUAAUAAUAAAUGUGUAAUGUUUUUAGAGUACGUAAGUAAAAAGAAAAGAAAAAUUAAGAUUGAGAACAAAACUAAAAAACAAAUAGUAAGUAAUAAAUGUGACAAAGAAACAAUUAUUCUAAAUAAAUCACUUGUGUAAAAAUAAAUAUUUUUCAUUGCUGGAAAUAUAGUUUCGAAAGACUUUAUAUAUAUAAGUAAGAAAAUAGUGCAAACAAAUAUUUUAAAACCAUUAUGAAUAAAUGUGGAUUAAAUAAAUUAAACUUAAUCAAACAAAUCAAUUUAAACAGAAAGGUUUGGAUAGAUAGAAUUAACAAAGUGAAAAUGAAGUCAAACAACCAGUUAUGUGAUUUUAUAGUAUAUUAUCUUUAUAAGAUGAACAUAAGUUUAGUAUUAUUGUGUUGACUACAGUUUGCAUAGACCAAAACUGAAGCACGGUAAUUAUGGUUUGGUGCUCUACUCUACUUUACACUUUACUCUUCUAAUUUCAUGUUUAUACAAAGUUUGAUUCCCUUACAGUCCCAACACGACCACCAUUAUCACUCUAAAUUUUGUUCCGAUGGCUAUUCAGAAUUCCCCUCAUUCACAUAUGAUGUGUUCCUCUGCUUUUCAGGGGAAGACACGCAUCAUGGUUUCACUGGCAAUCUUUACAUAAUAUCCAUUAUUUCCUGUUGUUACUGAAGAUUACAGUGAUGUAAAUUCGAAUUUUGAUUUUGAUUUUGACUGUGAAGCACUUGAAAAGCCGAAUAAAAGAUGAAAAAUUUAAGUUUAUGGAAGAGUAUGGUUGGGAUAAACUUAAAUUUUAAGGGUUUAUUAGUAAUUUUGUUUGAAUCUUAUUUUAUUAGUUUGAGUCUAGUAAUAUUUAGUUUGAUUUUGAUAAAGAUAAAAUAGGGAUAGAUAGUUUUGAUUUUCCAUUUAUUUAGAUGCAAUAUUAUUUUAUUUUGUUGAUUUAAGACAGAGAUAGAUUAAGUAGUUUUUUUUAUUUUGAGUUAAUUAUAUUUUGUUUUUAGUUUUUAUUAUUUGUAUUUAGUCCAAAACUAUUUGCAUUUAUUUAAAGAUUACCAAAGUUUAAUGAAAACAACUAUGGUGAAUUGAAGAGUUCAAUUAUUAGUUUUUUUUUUAAUUGUUUUUAUGUAGUAUAAGUUUCUUUUAAGGAGGAAACAGUUCCUUCAACUAACUAAAGCAAGAGACAGCUAGUCAUGAAAUUAUUGUUCCUAGACAUUAAUAUAAUAGACAAAGGAGAGAGCUACAGACAGAGAAGUAUAGAAUGCUCUUGUUUCAUAAUCCAAAACUCUCAUAUCUCCAGCCCAUAGAUAAGGACAGGGACUUAGCUUAGGACUGCAGGAAAGAGGAUAGCCACUAGGCCGGNUACUCUAUAUAAAUAUAAUAGAAAAGCACUCCAAAUAUAUGGGAAAGCAUCUUAUAUAGGAUAAAGAAAUCCAUAUUGGCUUACAGGGCUUAUCCCUACUCUUAUGCUUGACUAGCCAUUUUGCAAGUUUAACUUGCAAAAAAAGAACCGGGGACACGUAUAGCUCAAAUCAUUGGCUGUGUAAUUUUGUUGUUUUGGACAGGGUCUUUUUCAUAAAAAGGAUUUACUUCCUUGAAUGUUGUUGAAUGGUUUCUUAGUUUCCUAUUUCCUUAAUUUAAGUGUUAAUUUAUGUUGCAUUAUAAGAUCUGAAUGUUUAAUUCUUAUAUUAGAUUAGAAAACAGGUUUCUUACUUCGAAGAAACCUAUCAUAUUGUUUGCUAUAUAAGAAUUAUUUGAGUUGACUAAUAUCUUUUUAUCCAUAUCUCUCUGUCUUUGUCUAGUUGUCUUUUAUUUUAUUUAUUAGUUUUGUAACACUUCCUUUGAAAAAACUUUUCAUAAAAGAAUUGCAAGUUUCAUUUCAAAAUCUUACUGGACUCCAUCACUUAAAUAGCAUUGUGUUGACGUAUGCAUUGUCUGAUUUUAUUCUUUAUAGAUGAAAGGGUGGAAAUAGGUAAAAUCAAAAAGCCAAUAUAGUGGAAGAUUUGUCCAUAUAGGUGAUAAAAUCAACAAAUGAUUGGCUUAAUUUUGAAAACAUAAAAAAGAAAAUAAAAUAUAUCGGUUAGAACUCAAUAGAGCUAAGUGCAAUUUCUCCUAUAUUUUUUUCAUUUACAGGAUUUGAACCUACUCUUUGCUUCAAGAAACUCAAACAAUGUCACUCAAACAAAACAACAUAUAUUAAUUAAAUCUAGUAGGGUUUUUUUAGCAUUGUACUUGUUUUUCCUCAUAAUUGACAUGUUCUUUAAUCUCGAAGUCAUUUUUUCUUGAAACAAUCAUUUAACACAGUAAAUUUCUUUUAAUUAAAGCAAAGAGUGUCUUUACAAUGAUAUAAUCGGUUGAAUACAAAUGGGAAUAUAAUACAGAUUACAGAUGUGCAAAACUGAAUCAUAUCAAUAAACAUUUUUUUGUAUAACAAUCGGUUCAAAUAUGAUUGAAAAAAGUUUCACCCAUAUUUGUAACCUGAACUCUAUUUGGACACAAUUUACAUCCACAUCAUUAAAUGUAAUUAAAUUACAGCAACACUUCCUUCCUUUCUAUCUGUAAGACCAAAUUACUCAUCAUGGGUAAGAAAAAUGGUUCAUUAUUUGAUAGAAACAGAUUUGUUUAUAUAUAUAUAUACUUUAUUGUACUUUAUAAUAAAUUUAUACUCUAUGAUGUGUAAACUUAAACAGAUCUGUCAAUUAUUCUAAAUAAUUGUAUGUACUCUUUAUUAUGGGAAAUUUCUAAGAACAACGUAGAGUAGGAAUUAUGCAUGGUGUUGACUUUUGACAGUAAAGAGAGGAGAAAAAGAUAAUUUUCUAUGAAGUUCAUUCCUGUAAUAAUUAACACUGCUGUGGUAUUUUCAAUAUGUUUGGUAACAUUUUCUCAAUGUCAUCAUUCAGGUUUGAUUUUGGAGACAAAACAUGCCAUCUACGUAACUUUUCUUCUUCCUCACCAUCUUUACUCAUUUUAAUUUAAGGGACUGAAAAAUAGCACUUCUGUCUAUUAACAUGAGAGAACGAGAAUAGAACAUGUCUUUUGUUUUUUCUCUCAUCUAAAUUUAGAAGCCAUUUAAACACGCUUGUUCGAUAUAAAACCAACGUUCCAUUUUUCAGAAUAUUUUAGAAUAAACUCGACUCUUAAAAGAUUGAUACUUUUAGCAAAAAUAAUUUUUAAAAGUAAAUACUUAUUUUAACACUGACAUCUAGUACUGCAGAUUAUAUGCACAAAGAUAUAUGUAUGAACGCAUCUUCCUUUUUGUUUUCUUUUUGACUACGUUAAUCGAAGAUCACAGGUUACGCCGCCUGCAAGUUCUUUUAUUUUUUUAUUUAACUCUACACUUCAGUGCUUAUAUAAAUUUCAUAUUUAUUCAAAGAUUAAUUUCAUAUACACUCUAAGCUCUCAUUAAUGACCUCCCCAACAUUCACCUAUGAUGUGUUUCUCAGCUUUAGAGGGGAAGACACACGCUAUGGUUUCACUGGCAAUCUUUACAAAGCUCUUCGUGACAAGGGAACUCACACUUUCAUUGAUGAUGACAAGCUUGAGAGAGGAGAAGAAAUAACACCUGCACUUAUGAAGGCAAUUCAAGAGUCUAUGAUUGUCAUCACUGUGCUCUCUCAGAACUAUGCUUCUUCCUCGUUCUGCUUAGAUGAACUUGAAACAAUCCUUGACUGCAAGAAUAAAGGGCUACUUGUUAUACCAGUAUUUUAUAACUGGACCCUUCAGAUGUGAGACACCAGAAAGGGAGUUAUGGAGAAGCAUUGACUAAGCACCAGAAAAGGUUCAAAGAAAAGAAGGAGAAGUUGCAGAACUGGAAGAUGACACUGCGUCAAGUAGCUGACUUGUCUGGUUAUCAUUUCAAAGAUGGGUACGCCACCUUACCAAACUUUUACUUCAUAAUUUUUUUUGUUGGAUUAGAAAUAAGGCCAAUUUAUAAUAAGUGGGUGUAAAUCUUACUUUAUAAGCCGGAUUUGUGAGGUUAAGUUAGCUUAAAGUCCAUUUUUAAACAUAGUAUAAGUUAUAGUCUAUCCUAGCAAAUUAUGUUUAUUGAGCAUAUCAUUCUACUUCCAAUCGAAUCAUCUAUUAAUGUUUCACAUAUGGGAUGUAUAUACCCUCAGAGUUAUUUAAUAUGGUAUCAAAGUCAAUAUUUGUUAUUUGUUGAGUAUUUUGUUUCACCUGUUUUGGGUUUGCUAUUGGACCGCAUGGAUACAAACUUGUUAAAACAUUUUUGUUUGAAACAGAAUUGAAUAUGAAUACAAGUUUAUUGGGAGCAUUGUUGAGCGGGUCUGUAAAGAGAUUGGUUGUGGUUGUUGUUUACAUGUUGCAGAUUACCCAGUUGGACUAUAUUCACGAGUACUAGAAGUUAGGAAGCUCUUAGAGGUUGGAUGUUAUGAUGGUGUCCACAUGAUAGGCAUCCACAGAAUGGGAGGUGUAGGAAAAUCAACACUUGCUCGAGCUGUUUAUAAUGGUUUAGUUGUUGAGAAUUUUGAUAGUUUGUGUUUUCUUGAAAACGUGAGAGAAAAAUCAAACAAACAUGGGUUAGAACACCUCCAAAGCAUCCUUAUAUCACAAGUAUUAGGAAAGGAGGACAUUAACUUAACAAGUAACAAGGAAUUUCUAUGAUAAAGUGUAGGCUCAAGAGGAAAAAGAUUCUCUUGAUUCUAGAUGAUGUUGACAAUCUCAGACAGUUACGAGCACUUGACUGGUUUGGCCCCGGAAGCAGAAUCAUCAUCACAACUCGAGAUAAACAAUUGUUGGCAACUCAUCAAGUUACAAGAACAUAUGAGGUGAGGGAACUGAAUGAGAACGAUGCUCUUCGGUUGCUUACAUUGAAAGCUUUCAAAAAGGAAAAAGCUGAUCUAGAUUAUGAGUUAAUCUUGAAUCGUCUGGUAACUUAUGCAUGUGGUCUUCCAUUGGCUUUAGAAGUAAUAGGUUCCAACCUUUAUGGAAAAAGUGUGAAAGAGUGGGAAUCUUCUACCAGACAGUAUAAGAGAAUUCCUAAGAAAGAAAUCCUAGAGAUACUUAAAGUAAGCUAUGAAGCUUUGGACGAAGAAGAGAAGGUUGUUUUUCUUAACAUUGGUUGUUGCUUCAAAGGAUGUGCAUUGAGAGAGGUAGAAGAUAUUCUUGGAGCUCUUUAUGAUGAUUGCAUGAAACAUCAUAUUGGUGUGUUGGUUGAAAAAUGUAACAUGUAUAAAAGAGAAAGGGCAAAUAAGGGAAUUCACACCUGAAAUGGGUAAGGGAGAAAUGGGUAAAUUGAUAGAGAAUUCUGGUACCAAAGAAGCUGUUAGAAAGAGCACGCGUCCAGCCAAGAGAAACACCUAUUUGAAGGAUUACGUGUGAGCCAGAGGGGGCAGGCAUGUGGUAUGAAUUUUCUCCCUGAAUCUUCUCUCUAUCGGUGCUUCUUCUCUGUUCUGCUAUUAAUUCUGAAAUUCCUCUCUGUCAGGUGGAAUCUUAUAACGUACCAGCUCGGCAUCACUCACACCAUAUUUUUUACACUAUUCUAUUAGUGUUUCAUUAUUUCAGUUGUAUUGCUGUUGAAUAUACAUAUUUUCCAUACGCCUAUACUACACCCUGUUAUUACAGUGCUUUAAAUAAAAUCAGUUGUUUCAUUGGUGCUUUCAUUGCUCUUCAUGGCUGAAGCUACACGCUUGAAGGAUGUUCAAGCCGAACUAAAAACCCAAGGUAGUGAGAUUCAGAGGCUAUUGGAGCGUUUUGAGUUGAGAGAUCGUCAACAACGUGAGUACAAUGCACAGAAAGAGGCGGAAAAUCAAAAUCGAUUCGAUCAAAUACAAGCAACAUUAGAACGCUUGUUAAUGGAGAAAUCGAUGCNUCACCACCAUGAAGAGUCGACGACGAACACAUCUCCGAGACCGUUGAAUGCUGCGCUUCCUAUGCGGAAUAUUUCUCUAGAGUUUCCCCACUUUGAUGGCACAUCGUCGGUGCUUAGCUGGAUUUUCAAGGCAGAGAAAUUUUUCAAUUAUCACAACACACCGGACAUGGCUAGGGUGGACAUCGCUGCUAUGUAUUUUGAAGGUGAAGUGGUUCCUUGGUUUCAGAUGCUGCAACGUUUGGCAGCCGUUAAUACUUGGCUCGAUUUAACUCGUGCCCUUGAAUCACAAUUUGGACCUUCCCCUUUUGACUGUCCAAUGGCUGAAUUGUUUAAAUUGCAGCAAACAGGUUCUGUUUCUGAUUAUUAUCUACAAUUUAUGUCUUUGGCAAAUAGAUCAGUGGGUUUAACUGAUGAGGCACUCUUGAAUUUUUUCUUGAGCGGAUUAAAUGUUGAUAUUAAAAGGGAUGUUAUGGCAUUAUCUCCAAUUUCAUUGUUGAGGGCAGUGGCGUUGGCAAAGUUGUAUGAAGAUAAAUAUUGUCCUGCUCCAAAACCAUCUUUCACGAAACCGGUGGUCUCCUCUUAUGCAACGAAAUCUGUAUCNCAGUCAGUGCAGCAGCAAUAUCAGAAUCAGCCAAUUCAGAAUCAACGUCUACACGUGAAAACCACUCUUCCUCCCUUAUUACCUACUCCAAAUAUUUCUCCAUUAAAAACUAACAAUGUUAAGAGGAUUAGUCCGGCUGAAAUGCAAUUGAGAAGGGACAAAGGUCUCUGUUAUUUUUGUGAUGAAAAGUUUACUUUUAAUCACAAAUGUCUUAAUAGACAAUACCUUUUUCUUCAAUUAGAAGANGAGGAAAUUGGUGGGCAUGAUANUGCAACAGAGAACGCAGAAACUAUUCCCAGUGAUUGUAGGGAAGAACACCAUUUAUCUCUGAAUGCUAUGAAAGGUGGAAUGAGUGUGGGCACCAUANGAUUUUUAGCUUACAUUAACCAACUUCCUGUGCAAGUAUUGAUUGAUGGAGGCAGUUCUGAUAACUUUUUGCAGCCNCGGAUUGCUAAAUUUUUAAAACUUCCAGUAGAACCUGCUAAGUUGUUUCGUGUGAUGGUAGGGAAUGGCAAUUAUAUGACAGCUGAAGGGAAGAUUCAACAGCUUAAUAUUCAAGCACAGGGACAUUCUUUUGUCUUCCCUGUUUUCUUACUUCCUAUUUCUGGAGCCGAUCUCAUUCUUGGUGCUAGUUGGUUGAAAACCAUUGGUCCUCAUUGCCGAUUAUGAUACCUUGCAGUUGAAACUCCUUCAUGAGGGUAGAUUCACUACAUUACAAGGUGAUAAGGAAUUGGUGCCAGCUCAAGCUCAAUUACACCACAUAAGAAGGAUGGUGCACACAAAUGCUAUAGCCGAGAUUNAUAAUAUGAANUUAGUGGAAGAACAAUUCCAUUCGGGGACANUUUUGGANGCACAANNUGAUAUGAAACCGGACUUAGCAUUAUUACUGCGUACUUAUGCGUCAGUUUUUGAUACUCCUCAUCACUUACCCCCUCAAAGAUCACAUGAUCAUGCUAUUCCUCUAUUAGCAGGGUCUAAUCCGGUGAAGGUUAAGCCUUAUCGGNAUCCUCAUAGUCAAAANGAGGAGAUUGAAAGGUUGGUAGANGGGAUGUUGAAAGAAGGCAUUAUACAACAUAGCAAAAGUCCUUUUUCUUCUCCUAUUAUUUUGGUCAAGAAGAAGGAUGGCUCCUGGAGAGUUUGUACAGAUUAUAGAGCCCUCAAUGCUAUCACUAUCAAAGAUAGUUUUCCUAUUCCAACCGUAGAUGAAUUGAUUGAUGAACUCUUUGGUGCUUGUUACUUCUUUAAGUUGGAUCUCAGAUCUGGAUAUCAUCAGAUUUUAUUAAAAACCGAGGACAGGUACAAGACAGCUUUUAGAACUCACCAUGGCCAUUAUGAAUGGCUAGUCAUGCCAUUUGGAUUAAUUAAUGCACCAGCUUCCUUUCAGAGUUUAAUGAAUAACAUCUUCCACGGGUUAUUAAGAAAAUGUGUGUUGGUUUUUUUUUAUGAUAUUUUGGUCUACAGUUGCAAUUGGAAGGACCAUUUAUAUCACUUAGAAGUUGUCCUCAAGAUUCUACAGACACAUAAAUUGUUUGCCCGGUUUUCUAAGUGUUGUUUUGGUGUUACUCAAAUAGAAUACCUGGGACACACCUUAUCUGGUUCUGGAGUAGCUAUGGAUGAUAAAUAUUAGUUGUUGUACGAGCAUGGCCUCAGCCUACAAAUUUAAAGCAAUUAAGGGGUUUUCUUGGCCUCACAGGAUACUAUAGAAGAUUUGUGAAACAGUAUGCCACCAUAGCAGCACCAUUAACUGAUUUACUAAAAAGAGAUGCUUUUCACUGGACUCCAAAAACAGCAGUAGCGUUUGCACAAUUGAAAGUUGCAAUGACUUCGGCACCUGUCUUGGCUCUUCCCAAUUUUAAAGAAACAUUUGUAUUAGAAACAGAUGCUUCUGGUAUUGCAGUAGGUGUUGUCCUUAGUCAGAAUCAGCAUCCAAUUGCUUAUUUUUCAAAGAAAAUGUCUCAUAGGAUGCGAACCCAAUCUGCAUAUGUCCGAGAGCUGUAUGCUAUUACAGAAGCAUUGGCUAAAUUUAGACAUUAUUUGUUGGGACAUCACUUUAUUAUCAAGACUGACCAGAAAAGUUUGAAACAAUUGUUGGAUCAGACCCUUCAAACUCCAGAGCAACAACAAUGGUUGCCAAAAUUCUUAGGAUAUGACUUUGAGAUCCAAUAUAAAGCAGGGAAAGAAAACAUUCCUGCAGAUGCUUUAUCCAGGAGUUUUUUCAUGGCUUGGUCUGAACCUAACUGUGUUUGGCUGCAACAAUUGGUGGACUUAACUCAAAAAGACCCGAAGUUGUCUCAAGUGUAUAACAACUGUCUUCAGGGUCUCUCUCCACAUGCUGAGUAUACUAUUAAGGAGGGUCUGCUUUUUUGGAAGGGUCGAAUAAUGGUGCCUAAUAAUUCUACUCUCAUUAAGCAAAUACUCCAAGAAUUUCAUAAUUCCAAAAUCGGAGGUCAUGCCGGUAUUACUAAGACCACUAGUAUCAAUUCCACUGGACCAAUAUGCAGCAAGACAUUCGUAAAUAUAUCAAUGAAUGCCCAGUGUGUCAACAAGCGAAAGUGGAUCAUGCUUUACCCAAAGGGCUGCUGCAACCAUUGCCAAUCCCACAACAAGUUUGGGAGGAUAUUGCUAUGGAUUUUAUCACUCAUCUUCCAACCGUGAAUGGGUACACCACAAUCAUGGUUGUGGUUGACAGAUUUUCCAGCAAAGCAGUAGCAGAUGCCUUUAUUGCACAAGUGGUAAAGAUACAUGGUAUUCCAAAAUCCAUCGUAUCAGAUAGGGACCGUGUUUUUAUUAGCUCCUUUUGGCAACAACUGUUUAAAUCUCAAGGAACUACAUUAGCCAUGGGGUCCGCUUAUCAUCCUCAAUCUGAUGGCCAAACCGAGAAUUUAAACAAGACAUUAGAGAUGUAUUUAAGGUGCUAUGUGUAUGAGAAUCCUAAGUCUUGGAUUAAUAUGCUACCAUGGGCUCAGUAUUGGUAUAAUACUUCCUUUCAUCACAGUUUAGGUAUGACUCCUUUUCAAGCGCUGUUUGGCAGACUUCCACCUAAACUUGAAAGAUAUGAACAAAAUCCCAACGAUUCCAUUUCAGUGAAAGAGGCUCUGACAACAAGAGAUCAAGUCUUAUUACAACUAAAGGCUAAUUUAUUGAAAUCUCAGAACUAUAUGAAACAACAAGCAGAUAAAAAAAGGAGAGACAUUCAACUAGAGGUGGGUGAUCUGGCAUUGGUUAAGCUGCAACCAUAUCGNCAACAAUCCUUGGCCUUACGCAAAAAUCAAAAAUUGGGACUAAAGUNUUUUGGGCCAUUUGAGGUGGUGGAAAAGAUCGGAGCUGUUNCUUAUAGAUUNCAAUUACCUGACACAGCUAAAAUUNAUCCGGUGUUUCAUAUUUCUUUGCUCAAGAAAUUCCAAGGUGAUCUACCACAACAAUAUCUUCCCUUACCCCUCACAACAUCUGAGUUUGGUCCUACAGUGCAGCCCUCGAACAUACUAAGGUGUAGAGUGGUCACAAGGAAUCACAAGAAGGUCUCACAGGUACUAGUNCAGUGGGACAUUUCCGAUCCGAAAGAGGCUACCUGGGAGGAUGUAGAAGAAGUCAAACAAGCUUAUCCCUUGUUCAACCUUGAGGACAAGGUUGUUUUUGAUGAGGAGGGUAAUGUAACAUGUAUAAAAGAGAAAGGGCAAAUAAGAGAAUUCACACCUGAAAUGGGUAAGGGAGAAAUGGGUAAAUUGAUAGAGAACUCUGGUACCAAAGAAGCUGUUAGAAAGAGCACGCGUCCAGCCAAGAGAAAUACCUAUUUGAAGGAUUACGUGUGAGCCAGGAGGGGCAGGCAUGUGGUAUGAAUUUUCUCCCUGAAUCUUCUCUCUAUCGGUGCUUCUUCUCUGUUCUGCUAUUAAUUCCUGUCAGGUGGAAUCUUAUAACGUACCAGCUCGGCAUCACUCACACCAUAUUUUUUACACUAUUCUAUUAGUGUUUCAUUAUUUCAGUUGUAUUGCUGUUAAAUAUACAUAUUUUCCAUACGCCUAUACUACACCCUGUUAUUACAGUGCUUUAAAUAAAAUCAGUUGUUUCAAAAAAUCUCUCAUAAAGGUUAGUCUGCUUAGUAUAGUGGAAAUGCACGACCUAAUUGAGGACAUGGGUAAAAAAAAAUUGACCAGAAAGAAUCAGCAACAGAGCCGGAGAAUCGCAGGAGGUUAUGGUUGCCUAAAGAUAUAAUCCAAGUUUUAAAAUACAAAAUGGUAAGUGAGCUUCACCAAUGAUUGAUUUGUUUUCUUAUCUUGGUUCAGUCUUUUGUCUGUCGUAGUUCACAUCAUAGUUAUUUUUUUCUGUACAAUUUUAAAAUUUUUCUGUUUAUGUUAGUUUUUAAACUUCUCUUAAUUGGUGUCUUAAUCUUAUGCUGUGGUUGAUUCGUGCCUUUUGUGCAAUAACAGGGAACGGGUAAAAUUGAAAUCAUAUGUCUGGAUUUUUCCAUUUCUGAGAAUGAAGAAACAAUAGAAUGUGAUGAAAACACCUUCAUGGAGAUGGAAAACCUUAAAAUACUUAUCAAUAGAAAUGUUAAAUUUUCCAAAGUUCCCAAUUAUUUUCCAGAAAGUUUGAAAGUACUGGAAUGGCAUCGAUAUCCUUCAAAUUGUUUACCAUCUAAUUUUCAUCCCAAUAAACUUGUCAUAUGCAAAUUACCUGACAGUUGCUUUGCGUCUUUUGGGUUCCAUGCCUCAUCGAAGGUAAGUUUAAAGAGUAUAUUUUCCUCAUCUUGUAUAAAGUGAUAAAUGCACUUUAAAUUUAUCCCUUUGGUUCUUAUUUCCUUUCCCUUAUUUUUUUUUCUUUGCAGAAGUUCGAGAAUCUAACCAGCUUGAAUUUUGACGACUGCAAACUUUUAACACAGAUACCAGAUGUUUCUGAUCUCCAAAAUUUGGAGAAACUUUCUUUCGAAUGAUGUGAGAGUUUAACUGUAGUUCACAACUCAGUAGGUUUUAUGACUAAACUUAAANUAUUGAGUGCAGAAGGUUGCUCCAGCCUUACGAGUUUUCCACCUCUUCACUUGACCUCUCUUGAAAGACUGGAACUUUCAUAUUGUUCCAGUCUUGAGAAUUUUCCAGAAAUAUUAGGAAAUAUGGGAAACAUAAAGUGACUUGAACUGGUUAAACUUCCCAUAAAAGAGUUGCCAAUUUCAUUUCAAAAUCUCACGGGACUCAAAAAUUUACUAGUGAGAUGUGAUUUUGUUCGGUUAAGUAGCAUUUUCAUGACGCCUGAACUGUCUGAUUUUAAAGUUUAUAAUUGCAAGGGGUGGGAAUGGGAAAAAUCAGAAGAGGGUGAUCGACAAGUGGGCUCAAUCGUAUCUUCAAAACUAGAUGACUUUAUUGCUCUCUCUUGCAACCUUAAUGAUGAUUUUCUUUCAGCAGGUUUCUCGCAGUUGGCUCAAGUGAGUUAUUUAUGGCUACAAGAAAGUGAUAUCACGUUCCUUCCUGAAUGCAUCAAAGAAUUUCACAACCUGCAUGUUCUUGAUGUGAGUGAUUGCAAACUUCUUCGGGAAAUCAGAGGGGUUCCACUAAACUUAAAACAUUUCAAGGCAAAAAACUGUAUAUCAUUGACUUCCUCGGGAUCAAGCGUGUUGUUAAACCAGGUUUUGUAUUGUUUUUGAUUAAUUUGUUUUGAUAGCAGAUAGUUCAUUUGAUGAAUUGUUGAUGAACUGUGACUAGCAGCAACUUCACGAGGCUGGAGGGACAGUGUUUAUCUUUACAGGAGGAAGUGUUCCAGAGUGGUUGGAUAAACAAAGCAAGGGAGCUUCAAUCUCUUUCUGGUUUCGAAAUAAAUUCCCUGCCAAAGUUCUUUGUCUUCUUAUCGCACCUGUGCUAGGCCCUUUCGACUUGGCUAUACCCAUGGUGUACAUCAAUGGCAAAAUUAUAAAGUCUCUUUUUCAUAUGAAUAAAGAAGGGAAGAUUUUGGAAUUGGAUUAUACACAUCUCUUUGAUAUAAAAGAGUUAAAUUUCGAAGAUGAUCUUAUGGGAGUGUCUGAAAAGGAAUGGAAGCAAGUGGAGGUUACCUAUGAAGGUUUGUUUGAUACCUCCGUCAUUAAAGCAACAGGAAUUCAUGUGGUGAAAGAGGAAAGCAGGAGCAUGGAGGACAUUCGAUAUGAUGAUCCUUAUUCCAAUAAAGAAGACAAUCAUCUCAACACUUUCCAAUCACAAAACCACUCCUUAAACAGCAUAGGUUUAAUGUUGACAUUCAUAGGUUCUUUUCUAUUGUUUUCUUGCUUCUUUUUUGUUGUAUUUACAAGCCUAAGGAGCAACACAACCUGAGUAUCACCGAUCGAUAUUUCUUUUACAUUGUCGUCAAAUACUCGGUUUUUGUUUUUCAGGACAGUUACAUCUUGUAUUCUGUUAAUAUAUUAGAAAGUGGGUUGUUAUUCAUCCUGAAUGACACAUUAUAUACAUUUCUCUUUCUAGGAACAAGAGAAGAGUGAUGAUAAAUAUGGAUCAUAUAUAUCUUUCUGCUAUACAAUUGAAUUAAUCGAUGCAUGUGAAUGAUAAUAUGUUUGAAGUGCAUGUGAGGUAGGAGGUUACAUAUGAGGAUGAGAUACAGAACUAAAUACUUAAAUCAUAUGAGGUUACAUAUGAUUUUGAUCUUGCUGUUCAUAAGAGUAACAACUUAAAUGAUAACGUGGAUUCUGAAAACCAUAUUACGCAUGCUCAGAACAUUGACGAUCUUGAUAAACUGAAUAAAUCUAAUAGUAUUGGUACUAAACAUGCCUUAGAUUCUGUGUCAGAGCAAAAUUAUCAUAGAAGGUUUAUUAAGUUGCAGAUUUAAACGUUUAUGUAUUAAUUGAAAGAAAAAAACAUUUUGCAUCACACAACCUACACUCACAAAAUUGAAGUUUACUGUUUUUUUUUUCAUCUUUUUAUUGCAACUUCAUACAAAACACUCUUCUCUAUUUUAUUUAGGUUUUACAACUCUUUACAGUUUUUUUUUUCAUAACCAUUUUAGCUUCAUUAAACUUUUUUUCUGAAAUUGUGGUGGGCACGAAUACAAAUUUAUUGAAAGUAUUUAUUAAAUAAACUUAAAUUAUGAAAGGAGCUUAUUUGUAAUUUUGAGAUAAUGUUUUGGUUAAGUAGAUAAUUAUAUAUUUUAUUGAUAUAUUUGGUUAAGCCGUGAUAUUUGUUAGGUACAGUUAGUCUUUGGUAUUUGGCAUUUUACAGUGCUAUUAAAAGCCAUUAGUAUUCAAUAGAAAGAAAAGACUCAAUUUUAAAGAAAUAUUAGAGUGUAGUGUGAGAUUUUUUUAACAAAGUGGUAUUGAAAAAAAAAAAAGAGAGGAGACUGAGAGAAAAAGUAAGUGUUUGAUUUUUUUUGGAGAGAGAUAACAAAGAUUAUCAAUGGUAUGAGUGUGGCACAAUUGACGAGAAACUAAUUAUAAUAAUUAGUGCCUAAAGAUCCUAAGACAUUUGGGAUAUAGUGGAAGAUGGUCACGUUGAACCUAAUGAAGAUGAACAUCAGUAGCACAGAUAACCGCGUUGAAGAAAACACAUGCAAGAGAUGGGUAACAUUGUAUUUUCUCUACAAAGUAGUAGAUGAGUCGGGAUUCCAAAAAAUAGCGAAUGUCACAUCAAGGAAGCUUGGGAGAUAUUAGAGGUUGUGUAUAAAGGUGACAACGACGUUAGACAAGUUUGAAUUCAAGCUCUCAGAUGAGAGUUUGAACCUUUCGAUCAAACAUUACAAGUCGAAGUGUUACAGUUGUGGUAAGUCCAGUCACAUUGCUAAAUUUUGUCGGGGUGAGAAGAUUAGUGAGAGAUGAAAUAAUGAAUAAAUAAAGGGUUAAACUUCAGGAAUUGAAGGCGGCGGCUCUUGAAAAGGAAGAGAAAACAUCUAGUCUUCUUGAACUAGAGGAAGAUGAAGAUGUUGAGAAAAACCCAGGUAUGAGAAGCUCAGAUAUUGAAAAGCCGGAUAAUUUGAUGAGUGAAAUUUCAAACGAAAUUAAGAAGUCGAUCAAUGUUGCUGAGAGAUCAACCAAGAUUAUUGAGAAAUCACCUAAAAAUAGAUCAAGGAAAGAAAAAUUUAAAUUUAUGAAAGAGUUUGGAUAAGUAAACUUAAAUUAUGAAAGGAGCUUAUUUGUAAUUUUGAGAGAACGUUUUGGUUAAAUAUUUAAUUAUAUUUUUUAUUGAUAUAUUUGGUUAAGUUGUGAUAUUUGUUAGGUACAGUUAUUAUUUUGUGAAUCUGACUGACCAGAUAAGUUUAUAGAUAUGUUUCUAGUUAUUAUUUUAUUUGUAAAACGGUCUUUGCUAUUUGGCAUUUUACAUGGCUAUUAAAAGCCAUCAGUAUUGAAUAGAAAGAAAAGAUUCAAUUGUAGAGAAAUAUUUAGUUUUACUGUAAAUUAAAUGAAAGUAAAACUCCAGUACUUUAAUAUCUUUUUCUACUAUAAGAGAUCCUCCUUCUCAAUGUUAUUUGCCAUAAAAAUGUAUCUAGAUUUAAAUUUAAAUAUAGAUAAGCCCCAAUACAAUAAUAGGGAGCAUGAAGCAAAAGCCCCCAUGUGAAUUACGAUUAGGUUAGACCAAAACUAAACUGACAGAUCUGGCCGAAACUAAACUAAAAGGUCUAGAAUUUUGCUAUGAAAUUGAAGUUACCUAUACAAUCAUUAUCAAAUUCUAGGAUCAAAAUUUGAAAUCAAGAUAAAAUACUUUGAUUUUUUAAAAUAUUAUGUAAUAAGUUUAAAAUCGAAAGAAAAUUAAUUAUAAAUAGUGUAACAAUAAACUCAGCUUUUAGAUGACUAAAGAGAAGAAAGAUCGAAAUUGAGAAAACAUUCACAAUUAACCUAAACGAAUAAUGUAAAAAUAAAAAAUUUUACAUUACAAGAAAUUUAGUCUAUAUUAUAAAUAGUGUAACCAUAAACAUGUAAUCAGCAUUAUUGUGAAGCAUUUGUUUGCAUUGACCUGCCGACAGUCCCAACACGCUAACAUUAUGGGAAAUUUCUAAGAACAUUAAAAGACCUGUCUAACGUAGAGUAGGGUUAUGCAUAGUGUCGAAUUUUCAGAGAAAAGAGAAAAGUUUCAAUGGUAAUAGUUAUAUUCAGUCAUCUAUUGGGUAUAGAUAANUUUUUUUAAGUACUUAAAAAAAACUUUAACUCCAUUCUACACUACUUUUUAAAUAUUUUCUCAAUUAUUAAUCAUCAUCAAUUUCAAUACCUAUUUUCACUGUAAAAAAAUUUGGUUUUUGGAGUGUCAAAGAGAUUCUUUUGAAAUAACUUAUAUGCUAUUUUUACUAUUUCUAUAAACUAGAUGAAAGUAAAACUCUAGUGCUUUAAUAAUAUAUUGAAUGUUUAUACUUUUUUCUACUAUAGGGGAUCCUCCUUCUCAAUGUUAUUUGCCAUUAAAAUGUAUCUAGAUUUAAAUUUAAAUACGGAUAAGCCCCAUUACGAUAACAGGGUGCAGGAAGCAAAAGCUCCCAUGUGAAUUACAAAUAGGCUGAGCCGAAUUAACUGCCAAGUCUAUAUUUUUGCUAAAAAAUUGAAGUUAUCCAUAGAAUCAUUAUCAAAUUCGAGGAUCAAAUUUUGAAAUCAAGAUAAAAUAUUUUUAUUUUUUAAAAUAUAAUGUAAUAAUUAAGUUUAAAAUUGAUAGAAAAUUAAUUAUAAAUAGUGUAACAAUAAACAUAUAAUCAGCUUUUAAAUGACAAAAAGAGAAGAAAGAUUAAAAUUGAGAAAAAAAAAAUCACAAUUAACCGAAAGGAAUAAUGUAAAAAUAAACAUUUUACAAGAAAUGUAGUUGCAAAAACUAUCAAAGUGCACGUACGAAUGUAAGUAGUAAAAACAAUAGUUUGAGAUCAUUAGGAAUGAAUACAACUUAGAUGAACCCAACUUAAUCAAACAAAUCAAUUUAAACUCAGUUGUUUGGAUUGGGUAUAGAAUUAUCAAAGGUGAAAAUCAAACCAUUAUUGUGUGGCUAUUGUUUGCAUUAAUAAAUAUAAUGAGACAAAUCAGAAAGACCUGAGACAGAUAUUUUCCAUUUACAGUCCCAACACGCUANCAUUUAUUAUGGGAAAUUUCUAAGAACUUGAAACUUGAUGAAGACUUGUCCAACGUAGAGCAGGGGUUAUGCAUAGUGUUGACUUUUGAUGAAAAUUGCCAAAAUUUUGACGCGCUUUAACUUACAACAGGACCCAGCGAAUUACUGUUUGGCACUUGAUUCUGCAUUGCCUUACAUUUCACUCUUCUAAUUUUAUGUUUAUAUAAAAGUUUGAUUCCAUUUACAGUCCCAACACGCUAACAAUCAUCAUUCCAGACUUUGUUCUAAUGGCAACUCCAAGUUCCCGUAGAUUCACAUACGAUGUGUUCCUCAGCUUUAGAGGGGAAGACACUCGUUAUGAUUUCACUGGUUAUCUCUACAAAGCUCUAUGUGAUGGGGGAGUUCACACUUUCAUGGAUGAUGGCAAACUUCAAAGCGGAGAGGAAAUCACACCAGCACUUCAGAAAGCAAUUCAAGAGUCUAAGAUUGCCAUCGUUAUCCUCUCUCACAACUAUGCCUCUUCCUCCUUCUGCUUGGAUGAACUUGCAACCAUCCUUGACUGCAAGAGUAAAGGGCUGUUGGUUAUACCAGUGUUUUAUAAGGUGGAUCCUUCUUAUGUCAGACAUCAGAAAGGUAGCUAUGAAGAAGCAUUGACUAAGCAUCAAAAGAGGUUCAAAGGGCAGGAGGAGAAGUUACAUAAAUGGAAAACGGCUCUGCGUCAAGUUGCUGACUUGUCUGGCUAUCACUUCGGAGAUGGGUACCCACCUUACCAAUCUUUUUAUUUUAUUGAAAAUUAUUAUACUUAUCAAGACAUGGUUUUCUAGUUUAACUUAGUUAAACUUUAAUGUUUGGAACAGGUAUGAAUACCAGUACAAGUUUAUUGGGAGCAUUGUUGAACGGGUUUCCAGGGUGAUUAAUCGUGUUCCUUUACAUGUUGCGGUUUAUCCAGUUGGCCUACCGUCACAGGUGCUGAAAGUCAAGAAACUUUUGGAUCUUGGAUCGCAUGAUGUUGUCCACAUGAUAGGGAUCCGUGGAAUGGGUGGGUUAGGAAAAACAACACUUUCUCUAGCAGUUUAUAAUUCCAUUGCUGAUGAUUUUGAUGAGUCAUGUUUUCUUCAAAAUGUAAGAGAAGAAUCAAACAAAGAGGGGCUAAAACACCUCCAAAGCAUCCUUCUUUCAAAAAUGCUUAGAGAGAAGAAUAUCAUCUUAACAAGUUGGCAAGAAGGAGCAUCANUGAUACAGGAGAGGCUGGGGCGAAAGAAGGUUCUCUUGAUUCUAGAUGAUGUUGACAACAGAAAGCAGUUACAAGCAUUUGCUGGAAGAGCUGAUUGGUUUGGUCCCGGCAGCAGGAUUAUCAUUACCACUCGGGACGAACAACUGCUAAAAUCUCAUGAGAUUGAAAGAACUUAUGAGAUGGAGGAAUUGAAUGAGAAUGAUUCUCUUCAAUUGCUUAUAUGGAAUGCUUUCAAAAGGGAAAAAGUUGAUCCGAGUUACGAGGACGUGUUGAAACGUGUAGUAACUUAUGCUUCUGGGCUUCCAUUGGCUUUAGAAGUAAUAGGUUCCAACUUGGUUGGAAAAAGUGUUGAAGAAUGGGAGUCUGCGAUUGAACAUUACAAAAGAAUUCCUAACGGUCAAAUUCUAGAGAUACUUAAAGUAAGUUUUGAUGNUUUGGGGGAAGAAGAAAAAAAUGUCUUUCUUGACAUNGCCUGUUUCUUUAAAGGAAGUAGUUUGGAAGAAGUUGAACAUAUACUUGGUAUUCUUUAUGAUAACAACAUGAAACAUCAUAUCGGGGUGUUGGUUGAAAAAUCUCUCAUAAAGGUUCGGNAUGGAAGGUUUNGUGUAAUUGAAAUGCACGACUUGAUUGAGGACAUGGGUAGAGAUAUUGACCGGCAAGAGUCACCCAAAGAGCNAGAGAACCACAGGAGAUUAUGGUUAGGGAAAGAUAUUCUUCAUGUUUUAAAACACAACAAGGUAAGUAAGCUUCAUCCAUGACUGAUAUGUUUUAUUAGCUUGAUUUAAUAUUUUUAUGUCAUCUUUUCACAUCAUAGUAUUUUUUUUUCUCUUAGCAAUUUUGCAAAGUUCUCUUAACACGUGANUUUUUUGGAUUCGUGAACGUGACUUUUGCAUUAACAGGGAACUAGCAAAACUGAAAUCAUACGCCUGGAUUUGUCUAUAUCUGAGAGAGAAGAAACGCUAGAAUGGAAUCCCAACGCCUUCAGAAGGAUGAAAAACCUUAAAAUACUUAUCAUUAGAAAUGGUNAAUUUUCCAAAGGUNCCAAUUAUCUUCCAAAAAGUUUGAGAGUACUGGAAUGGCAUGGAUACCCUUCAAAUUGUUUUCCAUCAAAUUUUGAUCCGAACAAUCUUGUGACAUGCAAGUUACCUAACAGUCAUUUUACGUCAUUUGGAUUCCUUGGCUCAGCAAAGGCAAGCUUAAAGAUUGUUUUCCUCGUCUUGUAAAUUAUUAAAAACAAUAUAAAUAUCUUAACUUGUUUUCUCUUUAUUUUCUUUGCAGAAGUUCGAAAAUCUAACUGUCUUGAAUUUUGACUGGUGCAUGUUUUUAACACAGACACCCGAUAUGUCUGAUCUCGGAAAUUUGGAGGAAGUUUCAUUUAACUGGUGUGUGAGUUUAGAUGCAGUUCAUGACUCAAUUGGUUUUAUGAGUAAACUUAAAAUACUGCAUGCGAAUCAUUGCAUCAACCUUACGAGUUUUCCACCUCUUAACUUGCCUACUCUUGAAAGCCUAGAACUUUCAUUUUGUUACAGUCUUGAGAAAUUUCCAGAAAUACUAGGAAAGAUGGGAAACAUAAGGGUACUUCAAUUGCUAGAUCUUCCCAUUAAAGAAUUGCCACUGUCGUUUCAAAAUCUUAUUGGACUCGAACAGUUAUCCUUGUCAUGUGAAAUUGUUCACUUAAGAAGUAGCAUUUUCACGAUGCCUAACUUGAUUAAGUUUAGUGUUACUAAUUGCAAGGAGUGGCAAUGGAUAAAAUCAGAAGAUGCUGAAGAUAACGUAGGCUCAGUGGUUCCUUCAAAGUUAGAUUGGUUUUCGGCCUGGUCUUGCAACCUGGAUGAUGACUUCUUUUCAGCAGGUUUCAUGCGGUUGGCACGAGUGCGUGAUUUAUAUCUACAGGACAAUAAUUUCAAACACCUUCCUGAAUGCAUCAAAGAAUUUCACAACCUCAACUCGCUUGAUGUGACUCAUUGCAAACAUCUUGAGGAAAUCAGAGGGUUUCCACCAAAAUUAAAAUAUUUCAGUGCACCACAAUGUAUAUCUUUGACUUCCACCAGCUUAGACAUGUUGCUAAAUAAGGUUUUGUCUUGCUUUUGAAUUUUUUGAUUGAUAAUACGUAGUGCUCUUAAUGUUGGUAAGCUAAUGAGUUCUUUAUGAAUUAUGUAUGACUAACAGGAACUAUACGAAGCUAGAAAAACUGCUAUCUUCACGUUUCCAGGAGAAAGUUUUCCAGAGUGGUUUGAUCUGAAGAGCAGUGGACCUUCAUGUUCUUUCUGGUUUCGUAAUAAGUUUCCUGCCAGAGUUCUUUCUCUUCUUAUUAUACAUAUGAAUAAAUAUGAAAACUUAAGUACCAUUUUUGAGGUGCACAUUAAUGGGGAAUUGCAAACAGGCGGAGGCCACUAUUUGUUGGAGGUGGCGAAAUUUGAAUUCGGUCAAACAUACCUCUCUGAUCUAAAAAUGUAUGUUAAUUUUUUUGAACAACCUUUUGGAAAGGAAUGGAAUCACGUGGAGGUUACAUAUUAUACUCCGUCAAGGAAGUCAUGGAUUAAAGCAACAGGAAUCCAUGUAUUCAAAGAGGAAAUGGAAGACAUUCGGUUUGAUGAUCCUUAUAUCGUGGAAGACAUCAUGGAAGAAGAAGAAAAGGAGGAAGAAAAGGAAGAAGGAGAAGAAAAAGAAGAAAAGGCAAAAGAAGAAGAAAAAAAAGAAAAGGCAGAAGAAGAAGAAAAUAGCAUCAUGGGACACCAUGGAAGAAGAAGGAAGAAGGGGAAAAAGAAGAAAACUGCAUCAUGGAAGACAUUCCUAGUUUGAUGAUCCAUUUACCAACAAGAAAAGGAAGAAGGGAAAGGAGAAGAGGAACAAGAAGAAAAAGAAAAAUAACAUGCAGAAGAAGAAAAUAGCUUCAUGGAAGACAUUGGAUUUGAUGAUCCUUAUAUCACGGAAGACAUCAUGGAAGAAAGAGAAUAAAAAGAAGAAAACAACAUCAUGAAAGACACCAUGAAAGAAGAAGGAAGAAGAGGAAAAAGAAGAAAACAGCAGCAUGGAAGCCAUUCGGUAUGAUGAUCCAUGUACCAACAAGAAAACCCUUCUCAAUCACAAAACCACUUGUUAAGAAUCAUAGGUUUCUUCACGUCCAAAUUUUUCAUAGACCUUUUUCUUUUUUCUUUUCGUGCUUAUGUUUUUUACUCUAUUUACUAGCCUUAGCACCAACUCAACUAGGAUAUGAGUGAGAUAAUUC
rnacentral:lncRNA from 1 species